GCUACUGGCGCCGGGUCGGUCCGGGUAGGCGCAGCGGGACUGGACCUGGGUGCCGAGCGGAGCCGCUGCCAUGGGCCUGGGCGUCAGCGCUGAGCAGCCCGCAGGCGGCGCCGAGGGCUUCCACCUCCACGGGGAUGUGGAACCAUCUUCACCUGCUGCCCUUGCCGGCCUGCGCCCCUACACAGACUAUGUGGUUGGUUCGGACCAGAUUCUCCAGGAGGUGAGGAACCCGCAAUUUGCCCCUCCCCAGACCCUCUGGAUGUGGUGUGAAGAGAAGGGUGCUGUCCAUGAGAAGUGUCUGGUUUUGUUGAGGCUUUAGCCCUGGAAGCAGGCCUCAGGUGCUAUGCGUUUCUCACAGUCCGAGGACUUCUUUACGCUCAUCGAGUCUCAUGAGGGGAAGCCCUUGAAGCUGAUGGUGUAUAACUCCAAGUCAGACUCCUGCCGGGAGGUGACUGUAACUCCCAACGCAGCCUGGGGUGGAGAGGGCAGGUACUUCGUGGGGUUGGAGGGCUGCAGGGCCAGGUGGGUGGGGCCUGACCAUUGGGCAUGGACCUCAGAGUUCUAUGGUGGAGAU
rnacentral:sRNA from 1 species